rnacentral:tRNA from 1 species
AUAAAAGUAAGCUAAAUUAGAAGCUGUUGGGUUCAUACUCCGAAUAUGAAGAGAUUCCUUUUAUU